rnacentral:misc_RNA from 1 species
UGGUUUUGGCAUCGAUGAAGAACGCAGCGAAAUGCGAUAAGUAAUGUGAAUUGCAGAAUUCAGUGAACCAUCGAAUCUUUGAACGCACAUUGCGCCCCUUGGUAUUCCGAGGGGCAUGCCUGUCCGAGCGUCAUUUAUAGAAGAUCAAGCCUGGCUUGGUGUUGGACGUCGCCUGACCUACUGGUGCACAGGCGCGCCCCAAACGUGUCGGCGGCGGUCAGAGACCUCGAGCGUAGUAGAUAUUCCGCUCUGCGAAGUCCGCUGACUGCUGGCCUCUAGCCCCUAAAAGUUUCAAACUUGAGGUUGACCUCGGAUCAGGUAGGGAUACCCGCUGA